rnacentral:lncRNA from 1 species
GAGUGAGCUUCCGUUAGAGCGGCAGAAGCUGUGUUUUUAGCGCAGCUAGCUUAGUUUAUAGUUAUAAACUGUUUAUAUAGCGUUAAAAGCGAAGUAUUACAGUUCUAGAAAUAUAUAACCUUCAUAUUUACACAGAAACGCGCGGGGUCGGUGUGUAGCAGCUCGCUGUCCGGGGAAGGCAGGCCAGCUCUCUGAUAAUGUCAGUUUCUUUGGAUGAAGUUAUUAAAAUGUGCUGCACACAACAGGCAAAACUCACAGAAACCAUCAAACAGUGCAGAGAUAUCCUACACUCCAUGAAGGUUCCUGUGAUCCAUAUUAGUGAAGCUGACAGAUCAGCAAGUGUGUGUGUAAAAAAUGAAGACAUUCCUGUAAAAGAACUGCAAGAAAUCGAUCUAUUGGAACAAGUUCUAAAAAAGGCUGUGAAAGUCCGCAGCAGCUCUGCCCUGCUCAAAAACCAUGGAGCACAAUUACAAGAAAAGAAACCUGUAGAAAACAGCAAUCGAGUACCAGUCUCUAUCAAAACCACGGCUAAAGAUUCUGUUCAAAUAAAACCCAAAAAAUCAACACAGACUGGUCCUGCCAGGAGAGGACCUUCAGCUCAGACCACCGUCAGAGCGAAACCACUGGUAGCGAAACCUGCGACAGUACAGAUCUCCAGUACUGCUGUUCAAAAGUCUUCCAGCCAGAGCACCGACUCCAAAACCUCCACUGAGGAGAAGAUUAUAGCUGGACCACCGACUGACGACAUGCAGUUAAAAUCAGCAGGACAAGUGUCUCUUCCAAAAGAGCCAAUGGUGCUUUCUCCCUGGUUUCCAGUAUGGCAAGCGCAAAGGACCAAAAAGAACAGUUCCCGAAGGAUUGGCUCUCUGGACAGGUAUCAGUCAGACAGGCGGAGCUGGACUCCCUCACGCAGCUCGGACUGGACCUGAGUCACUGCUACCGCGCCUCGCUCCGGAACCAGCAGCCGCUAUCAGCCCGCGGGCCGGGCACCGAUCCAGGUACUGAAUCCAUCAGAGAGGGAGGAAGGAAUGAAUGAACGAAUAUAGCAGGAGUGUGUAGGAGGAGAGGCUGAGAGAUGAGCAUUGUGGAUAAUAUGUUCUGAUGUGUUUGUAUCAUUCUGGUUAUAGUAUGAAUUAAACUUAGCAGUACAUUAAAGAUACAUUCGUGCAAUAUAUUUCCUAAAAAGUAUCCAGCGCUGGCCUGCAUUGCUGCAUUUAGGGCUGAGUAUUGUUUUAAAACUUUUGUUACCGGUACAGACAUGAUACUUUUAAUUCGGUAUCAAAAACCAAACUAUACUUUUUUCCAUAACUUUUUCUUACUACAUUGUACAUAACUUUCUUACAUACUUUGUUCCCACACAAUGUAUUUAUUUAACAGCCGACAUGUAAUCAAUGGAAGACCAAAACUGCCCAAAUUAAAAAUAAAUAAAUAAAUAAAUAGAUAAACUAAUGAAAA